GUAGCGAUUGAAAGCCGCCGCUCACCGGCGGGAGGUUGCUAAACGGCGGGGCUCGAGGGCAGGAGAGGUGCGGGGAUUUCCUGGUGGAGCGGUGAAAUGCGUAGAGAUCAGGAAGAACACCGGUGGCGAAGGCGCCGCACUGGACUGGCCCUGACGCUGAGGCGCGACAGCGUGGGGAGCGAACGGGAUUAGAUACCCCGGUAGUCCACGCCGUAAACGAUGGGGACUAGGUGUUGCGCGGUGCACCGCGCGGUGCCGGAGCUAACGCACUAAGUCCCCCGCCUGGGGAGUACGGCCGCAAGGUUGAAACUCAAAGGAAUUGACGGGGGCCCGCACAAGCAGUGGAGCAUGUGGUUUAAUUCGACGCAACGCGAAGAACCUUACCAGGGCUAGACGGGACCGUGAGCGUCGCGAAAGCGGCGGGCGCUGGGGGGAACUCUGGCGAGCGGUCGGCAGGUGCUGCAUGGUUGUCGUCAGCUCGUGUCGUGAGAUGUUGGGUUAAGUCCCGCAACGAGCGCAACCCUCGUCGGCUGUUGCCAGCGGGGAAGGCCGGGCACUCAGCCGAGACCGCCGGGGACGACCCGGAGGAAGGUGGGGAUGACGUCAAAUCCGCAUGGCCUUGAUGCCCUGGGCGACACACGUGCUACAAUGGCGCCGACAACGGGAGGCGACCGCGCGAGCGGGAGCGGAUCCCUCAAAGGGCGUCGUAGUUCGGAUUGCAGGCUGCAACUCGCCUGCAUGAAGCCGGAAUUGCUAGUAAUCGCGGAUCAGCAUGCCGCGGUGAAUCCGUUCCCGGGCCUU
rnacentral:rRNA from 1 species